rnacentral:rRNA from 1 species
CGAACGGUAACAGGAAGCAGCUUGCUGCUUCGCUGACGAGUGGCGGACGGGUGAGUAAUGUCUGGGAAACUGCCUGAUGGAGGGGGAUAACUACUGGAAACGGUGGCUAAUACCGCAUAACGUCGCAAGACCAAAGAGGGGGACCUUCGGGCCUCUUGCCAUCAGAUGUGCCCAGAUGGGAUUAGCUUGUUGGUGAGGUAACGGCUCACCAAGGCGACGAUCCCUAGCUGGUCUGAGAGGAUGACCAGCCACACUGGAACUGAGACACGGUCCAGACUCCUACGGGAGGCAGCAGUGGGGAAUAUUGCACAAUGGGCGCAAGCCUGAUGCAGCCAUGCCGCGUGUAUGAAGAAGGCCUUCGGGUUGUAAAGUACUUUCAGCGGGGAGGAAGGUGUUGUGGUUAAUAACCACAGCAAUUGACGUUACCCGCAGAAGAAGCACCGGCUAACUCCGUGCCAGCAGCCGCGGUAAUACGGAGGGUGCAAGCGUUAAUCGGAAUUACUGGGCGUAAAGCGCACGCAGGCGGUCUGUCAAGUCGGAUGUGAAAUCCCCGGGCUCAACCUGGGAACUGCAUUCGAAACUGGCAGGCUUGAGUCUUGUAGAGGGGGGUAGAAUUCCAGGUGUAGCGGUGAAAUGCGUAGAGAUCUGGAGGAAUACCGGUGGCGAAGGCGGCCCCCUGGACAAAGACUGACGCUCAGGUGCGAAAGCGUGGGGAGCAAACAGGAUUAGAUACCCUGGUAGUCCACGCCGUAAACGAUGUCUACUUGGAGGUUGUGCCCUUGAGGCGUGGCUUCCGGAGCUAACGCGUUAAGUAGACCGCCUGGGGAGUACGGCCGCAAGGUUAAAACUCAAAUGAAUUGACGGGGGCCCGCACAAGCGGUGGAGCAUGUGGUUUAAUUCGAUGCAACGCGAAGAACCUUACCUGGUCUUGACAUCCACGGAAGUUUUCAGAGAUGAGAAUGUGCCUUCGGGAACCGUGAGACAGGUGCUGCAUGGCUGUCGUCAGCUCGUGUUGUGAAAUGUUGGGUUAAGUCCCGCAACGAGCGCAACCCUUAUCCUUUGUUGCCAGCGAUUAGGUCGGGAACUCAAAGGAGACUGCCAGUGAUAAACUGGAGGAAGGUGGGGAUGACGUCAAGUCAUCAUGGCCCUUACGACCAGGGCUACACACGUGCUACAAUGGCGCAUACAAAGAGAAGCGACCUCGCGAGAGCAAGCGGACCUCAUAAAGUGCGUCGUAGUCCGGAUUGGAGUCUGCAACUCGACUCCAUGAAGUCGGAAUCGCUAGUAAUCGUGGAUCAGAAUGCCACGGUGAAUACGUUCCCGGGCCUUGUACACACCGCCCGUCACACCAUGGGAGUGGGUUGCAAAAGAAGUAGGUAGCUUAACCUUCGGGAGGGCGCUUACCACUUUGUGAUUCAUGACUGGGGUGAAGUCGUAACAAGGUAACCGUAGGGGAACCUGCGGUUGGAUCACCUCCUUACCUUAAAGAA